GGUGCAGAAACACCCAAAGAACAGAGAUCCAGACAGAGUCCGGGGGAAAGAGAGAUGAAGAGACGAUACGCGUAGCGAUAGAAGCCGAGCUGGCAAGAUGACAGGGGGAAAGAGAAAGAAGAAAAAGAGACUGCGGCGCGAAGUGCAAAAGAGGACCAAAAACCAUCUUCACCUACAGCAACUUCUCCUGCAAGGAAAAAUAAGCCGCAGUACGGUGCAAAGUGUGGGAGACAUCCAAAGCUGUGGAAGAAGAGGGAAGGAUCAUUCUACUUAGGGGGUUCCCCACAAAUGUUCCAGGAAAGAGAUGAUCGUGGGGAUGCAGGAGGCCCAGGUCCAAGGAGAUGGCGGGAAGAACACUGAUGGCAGAGGAACUGCCAUUGUGAAGGCCUGAGAGGACUCAGAAGUAUACGUCAGCUUAGAAAUAGCAUCAAACUCUUCCCGUCCACUAUGUCCCCUCACCAAGGACUGCUCUCAUUAUCUGAAUCUGUUUUGAGUGAUUUGUACCCACUAUAUGAUGCAUGACAUACACUAAAGAAGAAAAUAAAGACGCCCCACUUUUAUUAACAGACAUGGAACCAUAUAUCAAUAGACCGUAUUACUUACCUACUGUGUUAAUAUAAAUUCAGGGUUGA